rnacentral:rRNA from 1 species
GUGUCAGCCGCCGCGGUAAUACGGAGGAUGCAAGCGUUAUCCGGAUUUAUUGGGUUUAAAGGGUGCGUAGGCGGAAAAAUAAGUCAGUGGUGAAACCCUGCAGCUUAACUGUAGACUUGCCAUUGAUACUGUUAUUCUUGAGUAUGGUCAAGGUAGGCGGAAUGUGUAAUGUAGCGGUGAAAUGCUUAGAUAUUACACAGAACACCGAUUGCGAAGGCAGCUUGCUGGGCCAUUACUGACGCUGAUGCACGAAAGCGUGGGGAUCGAACAGGAUUAGAUACCCUGGUAGUCCACGCCGUAAACGAUGAUCACUCGCUGUUGGCGAUACACAGUCAGCGGCUAAGCAAAAGCAUUAAGUGAUCCACCUGGGGAGUACGGCCGCAAGGCUGAAACUUAAAGGAAUUGACGGGG